AAGUCAGACCUGCUGUGGAUUUCUUCACGCCAAAAGUCAGUCAUCCUGUGGAUGUGUUGAAUGUCUGUGGGAUUUGGACUGAUCAUCAUCAGGCUCUUCCUCCGUCCUGCAUCUGUGAUGUGGACAGUCUUCAGUAUCUGCUC